rnacentral:rRNA from 1 species
UACAGAGGGUGCAAACGUUGCUCGGAAUCAUUGGGCGUAAAGCGCACGUAGGUGGCUCGUUAAGUCGGAUGUGAAAUCCCAAGGCUCAACCUUGGAAGUGCAUUCGAAACUGGCGAGCUUGAGUAUGGUAGGGGGUCUCGGAAUUCCCGGUGUAGAGGUGAAAUUCGUAGAUAUCGGGAGGAACACCAGUGGCGAAGGCGGAGACCUGGGCCAAAACUGACACUAAGGUGCGAAAGCGUGGGGAGCAAAC